rnacentral:rRNA from 1 species
CCUACGGGGGGCUGCAGUGGGGAAUAUUGGACAAUGGGCGAAAGCCUGAUCCAGCCAUGCCGCGUGUGUGAAGAAGGCCUUCGGGUUGUAAAGCACUUUCAGUGGGGAAGAAAGCCUUGGGGCUAAUACCCUCGAGGAAGGACAUCACCCACAGAAGAAGCACCGGCUAACUCCGUGCCAGCAGCCGCGGUAAUACGGAGGGUGCGAGCGUUAAUCGGAAUUACUGGGCGUAAAGCGCGCGUAGGCGGUCUGAUAAGCCGGUUGGGAAAGCCCCGGGCUCAACCUGGGAACGGCAUCCGGAACUGUCAGGCUAGAGUGCAGGAGAGGAAGGUAGAAUUCCCGGUGUAGCGGUGAAAUGCGUAGAGAUCGGGAGGAAUACCAGUGGCGAAGGCGGCCUUCUGGACUGACACUGACGCUGAGGUGCGAAAGCGUGGGUAGCAAACUGGAUUAGAUACCCUGGUAGUC